CACAGUGGGCACAUAAAACUUUGAGUGAAUGGAUGAUCUCAGCAGUCCAUGCACUGCCCAGCAGAGAGUGGCUGGGAGAUGACUUCAUGCCUUGAAGGAUCCCUGGGCAACUUCAGCACACUUCUGUCCUCCUAGUGAUUAAGUCAGCGAUGCAAGAGCCAGGAGAAAAGAGCUCGGAGCCAAUGAGACUAGAUUCUUAGUGUGACUAUCUGUUUGUCUUCUCUUUUUCACAGACUUCUUAAUACUCCUCCUGGAGGACUUUUCCUUUCUCCUGGCCUUCUGAAUCUCUACACAAAGCAAACACAUUGGUGUAAUUCUACAGGAGGUCCCCUCCCACACACCUAAAUCAAGGGUUAGCCUGAAAAUACAAAAGACUUCACCAGUCAGUUUUACUUGCCCGGAUCAUCUGGUGCUCCCCAAGGAAGCACCUGAAGAGCCAAUUAGUUAAUAUUUUGGAGGGCAAGACGGUAAGAUCCUUUUCAAUCUCGGGUACCUGGCUUUUAGUUAAAAAUUUUAUCCCAGAUUUCAACUUCUUUAUUAAGAAUAAGGACCUGCUUCACAGAAACACAAAAAAAGAUCUGUUGUUCCUUAGAGUUUUCAGAAUGAACAGCCACAAGGUAAAAUAGGCUUUAGCCUUAGCACUUAGAGUUCUAGAUCUGAGAAUUCCACAUUGCCAAGUCACUUGUAUUGACACUAUGAGAACUAAGAGGCUGCUAAGGACUUCUUCACACAUCACUGUAAUGCAUUUCCUAAUGUUUUUUCCCUAAUGAAAAUCU